rnacentral:rRNA from 1 species
GAUGAACGCUGGCGGCGUGCCUAAUACAUGCAAGUCGAGCGAACAGACGAGGAGCUUGCUCCUCUGACGUUAGCGGCGGACGGGUGAGUAACACGUGGAUAACCUACCUAUAAGACUGGGAUAACUUCGGGAAACCGGAGCUAAUACCGGAUAAUAUAUUGAACCGCAUGGUUCAAUAGUGAAAGACGGUUUUGCUGUCACUUAUAGAUUGAUCCGCGCCGCAUUAGCUAGUUGGUAAGGUAACGGCUUACCAAGGCAACGAUGCGUAGCCGACCUGAGAGGGUGAUCGGCCACACUGGAACUGAGACACGGUCCAGACUCCUACGGGAGGCAGCAGUAGGGAAUCUUCCGCAAUGGGCGAAAGCCUGACGGAGCAACGCCGCGUGAGUGAUGAAGGUCUUCGGAUCGUAAAACUCUGUUAUAGGGAAGAACAAAUGUGUAAGUAACUAUGCACGUCUUGACGGUACCUAAUCAGAAAGCCACGGCUAACUACGUG